CAGACAAGGACCUAUCCAUCGUGUAUCCGACUGAAAACAAAACCAAAUUUGUGUUAACUUCCGACGAUUUAUUGCCAUGGCGAUCGAUGCAAUCCCUCCACUUAUCGCUGCACAGCUGAAUUACUUAGUCACUCACACUCCCUUCUCUGUCAAGGUAGAGAACAUGUGGCCUGGAGGGAAAAACACUGGUCUGCUUGAUCGAUUCACCUUAGUUAUCCCUUUUUGCCUCGAUUACAUCAAAUGGGAUGUGAUAUAUAAUGCUGUGUAUCCUUUGGCGGCACCGGAUAUUAUAUUUGGACCGGAAGAUGAAAAUUUUCGACCGUAUCAUGCUCUUGGAGAUGCUAGUGAUUCAAAGUCAUUGAAGAAUCCUCUUACUGUCUGGAAUAGUAGAGAUCCCACUCGUCUCUACUCUCUGGUUCUGCAGCUCAGGGAACUGUACAAGGCAUACCAAAAGAAAAGAGUUGAAGAAGUUGAUGAUGACAGGCUGAAGUUUGAAAUCAGCACAAUGCUCUCGAGAGAGGGUAUUGAAAUGUCUUUGAGUUCAAAUAUUGAUAAGCCAGAAGAGGUUAAAUUUGCUGUCCCGUUGCUGGAUUUGGAUUUAAACAAAAUGGUUGCCGGAUCCACGUGGCGCCAUCAGCAAAAGAUAUACCUACAGGUUAUAUAUCCAAUUGGCAGGAAAUACUCCAGUGUUCCUUCUGCCCCACGUUUAAAAUUGAUUUCUUCUCCUGAAUUGAAGGCUGUCUUCUCAAUUGAUGAUUUCAGGCUUCCUGCGUGGUUGGAUGGAAUGUGCAUGGCUGAGUACCUUCCGACUUUAGAAGAGAUGCUUGAGUCACAGAUAAAAGACGCAGUUUCAUCCAUCGAAAGUAGAAGGAAGCUCAUUAUGGCAUUAGCUCCUCUUUUUGGAAGGCCAGUGGAAGCCGAUCCAGUUUUCUGCAGGAAGGCGACCUUUUUAUCUUCCUCUGGGGUAUUUACUUUUCUGGUUCAUCUUGCCAUCCCACUUCAGUUCCCUAAGCAGCAGCCAAGUUUGAUGCUUCAGAGUUCCCAGUCAAAUUUUCAAUAUAAUGAUGACUCACUGCUCUCUGUGCAUGUGCAUCGGCAUGUUUGCUUAGCACUUCAAUUCUCAAGGUCUGCCCAUUAAGUCUCCAGUCACUACUGAAUAUCCGUGGAGUCCCAGAUGGGAAGUAUCAGAUAUGGCUGAGCGGAUCUUUGAUUUCAUUGUGGAAGAAUGCUUGAAUUUCAAGAAAUACUGCAGUGAAUCUAUGCUUCAAAACCGAUGAGAGCAGCUGUUGCAAAAGUUCGUUUGUUUCAUAUUUUGGUGAUAUUCCUGUAUGUAAGUCUUUAGCUGUUGAUCCCUGUGUCGUAAUGUUUCUAGAUGUGCAGAAGAAAGACCCCAAGGGACCUAACAGUGUUCUAAUUGCAUACUCUGUCGUGCUUUUCUAAUUUCUAUUUUGAUAACAUUUUCUGUGA